UACGGAGGAUGCGAGCGUUAUUCGGAUUUAUUGGGCGUAAAGGGCGCGCAGGCGGUCUUUCAAGUCAGAUGUGAAAGCCCGGGGCUUAACCCCGGAAGUGCAUUUGAAACUGGGAGGCUUGAGUAUGGGAGAGGAAAGCGGAAUUCCUGGUGUAGAAGUGAAAUUCGUAGAGAUCAGGAGGAACACCGGUGGCGAAGGCGGCUUUCUGGACCAAUACUGACGCUGAGGCGCGAAGGCGCGGGGAGCAAACAGG
rnacentral:rRNA from 1 species